rnacentral:lncRNA from 1 species
CUGAGACUUCUGCACCAUCUGAACCAUCAGUCACUCUCUGGCCCAGAGAGGUGGUGUUAUUUGCCAAGGACACACAGCAGGUGGCCAAGAUGGAGCCAAGCCAUUUUCCCCACUGCAGGGACCCCUGAUCUCCAUUCCCCUGGACAUCUCAAGGGCACAAAUUCUCUGGACACACGGAGGGAAUAAUGCUGACAUUUUAUAGAAGCUGACCCACUGGAUAUCCUUCUCACCCAACUCCAUUAGGCUGGGGAGAGUAAGAGGCACGGUGACAAGGUGGCAAAGAUGUCACCAUGCCAUCCAAUCACGAGGUCUCCAGGAAACUGUAUAAGAAGGACACCUCCAGAAACUCCUGGCACUACUGAACAAAUGUAUAAUAUCCCUGGGUAAAACCAAGAGUCCUCUCGC